rnacentral:tRNA from 1 species
GGUUAGCUCGGUUGGUAGAGCGCUCCACUGGAAAUGGAGAGGUCCCGGGUUCGAUACCCGGGAUCU